CCUGCAUGAAGCUGGAAUUGCUAGUAAUCGCGGAUCAGCAAGCCGCGGUGAAUACGUUCCCGGGCCUUGUACACACCGCCCGUCACACCAUGAGAGUCGGGAACACCCGAAGUCCGUAGUCUAACCGCAAGGGGGGCGCGGCCGAAGGUGGGUCCGGUAAUUGGGGUGAAGUCGUAACAAGGUAAC
rnacentral:rRNA from 1 species